CAUGACUACAUUUUAUUAUCAGUUAAAAUGAUGCAUAAAAUGACAAUUUAGCUGCUGAGGAACGGCACAUAUUGCAUAUCUCCCUUUUAAAGGUUUGAGCUUUGAUAUAUUUCCAAUGCAGAAUGAUAAAAGACCACCUGACGAGUUGUUUGCAUUAUUAUGUUUAUUUGAAAAGUGGCCAUUUUAUGUAAAUUCACAGUAUUCUGUGUCCUCGUUUAGCAAGGUAAACUUGUGUUUCUACUUCAGAAGAGAUUAUCCUCAAAAGUUGGACAAUAGCUGAGUUUUCUUUCAGGUGCAGGUUUCAUAUAUAAGCAGAGGUCUGUCGAAUGUCCUCAUUUAGGCAGCGAGGUGUGUGUGUGUGUGUGUGUGUGUGUGUGAUCGCUGGGUGGAGCAGCAGUGUACGGCGGGUCUCGUCUCUCUUCUCUCUCGGUUGAGCGGCUCAUUGCGGCGGCUGGAGAUCCAUCGAGCGGCGGCGGCGGAACGUCUCCAGCGUCCGUGUGCGUGAAGCAGGUGGAGGUGGAGGAGGAGGAGGAUGAUGGAGGAAUCCGACAGCAUCCCGUGCACCGCGGAGGACGGACUCCUGUCGAGCUGGAGAUGGAACAGAACCGCCAGGGAUCAGGUCCAGAUCAAGCAGAAGAUCCGAGAUCUGCCCGGAUUGUUAAAGCACGGACUGAACCUGCGCAAAAAGAGCCAGUCACCUGACACCAUCCCAGGACCCAGCGCGGGCGUCACACCCAAACCCAAGACAUGUUCUCAGAGUUUUCCCUGCGCUGGACGUGCAUUGAGAAAUGCCUUUCUGUCUCAUGGACCGUAUCCAGCAAAAGACAAGAUCCACCUCGCCAGGAUUAUCAGGUGAGGGAUUUACAUUUGUGCAUUUGCUAGCCACUUCAUUCAAAGCUUAUUCA
rnacentral:lncRNA from 1 species